GUGGGGAAUUUUGGACAAUGGGCGCAAGCCUGAUCCAGCAAUGCCGCGUGCAGGAUGAAGGCCUUCGGGUUGUAAACUGCUUUUGUACGGAACGAAAAGACUCCUUCUAAUAAAGGGGGUCCAUGACGGUACCGUAAGAAUAAGCACCGGCUAACUACGUGCCAGCAGCCGCGGUAAUACGUAGGGUGCAAGCGUUAAUCGGAAUUACUGGGCGUAAAGCGUGCGCAGGCGGUUAUAUAAGACAGAUGUGAAAUCCCCGGGCUCAACCUGGGAACUGCAUUUGUGACUGUAUAGCUAGAGUACGGUAGAGGGGGAUGGAAUUCCGCGUGUAGCAGUGAAAUGCGUAGAUAUGCGGAGGAACACCGAUGGCGAAGGCAAUCCCCUGGACCUGUACUGACGCUCAUGCACGAAAGCGUGGGGAGCAAACAGGAUUAGAUACCCGUGUAGUCC
rnacentral:rRNA from 1 species